rnacentral:rRNA from 1 species
UACGUAGGGUGCAAGCGUUGUCCGGAAUUAUUGGGCGUAAAGAGCUCGUAGGCGGUUCGUCGCGUCGGCUGUGAAAUCCCGGAGCUCAACUCCGGGUCUGCAGUCGAUACGGGCGGACUCGAGUUCGGCAGGGGAGACUGGAAUUCCUGGUGUAGCGGUGAAAUGCGCAGAUAUCAGGAGGAACACCGGUGGCGAAGGCGGCCUUCUGGACCAAUACUGACGCUCAUGCACGAAAGCGUGGGGAGCAAACAGG